CAUGUCCUUAAGAUUAUAAUUUAAGGUCUAAUCUGCCCACUGAAAAUUUAAAUGGCCGCAGUAUUUUGACUGUGCUAAGGUAGCAUAAUAAAUAGUUUUUUAAUUGAAAGCUGGAAUGAAUGAUUGGAUGAGAUAAAAACUGUCUCAAAUUUAUUUUAAUAGAAUUUUAUUUUUAAGUUAAAAAGCUUAAAUUUUUUUAAAAGACGAGAAGACCCUAUAGAGUUUAAUAAAAUUUUUUUUAUUUAUUUUAAUUAAAUUAUAAAUUUUAUUAAUUUUAUUUUGUUGGGGUGAUAGAAAAAUUUAAUAAACUUUUUUUUAUUUUAACAUUAAUAUAUGAUUACUUGAUCCAUAAAUUAUGAUUAAAAGAAUAAAUUACCUUAGGGAUAACAGCGUAAUUUUUUUUGAAAGUUCAAAUUAAGAAAAAAGAUUGCGACCUCGAUGUUGGAUUAAAGUAUCAUUUUGGUGUAGAAGCUAAAAUUGUAAGUCUGUUCGACUUUUAAAACU
rnacentral:rRNA from 1 species